AUUGGUAAGAAGUUACUGAUGUGCUUAGACUUUCCACCUUUGAUCAGAGGAAAUGUCUCUGGCAGCUUGUCCAGGAUGGACCCUGCCUUUGGCCAAUAGCUGGAACAGAUUCCAGAAAACCCCUCCUCAUAAUGAGGCAGACAUAGACUAAAUGAAAUACAAAAACAUCUUACCCAGUGAGGUGUAAGGUGCAGAAUUAAUAGUACCUAUGAGUAUUAAAAAAAUGACAGGGGAAAAUUAAUAAAUAUUGGUCUGUUAUAUUCACAGUUUAUUGAUAGAAAAAUUCAUCAUAAACCUUCAGUAUUCCGGGACAGAAAAGUGGAUGCAGCUUCUCAGUAAGGUUGGCUGUUGGAUGGCCCCCUCUGUCACCAAAUUGUCUCUUCAAUUUAUUGCCAAACCCUGUCUGGCUCUCCUCGCUGUGUCAUGAAAUCGAUCUCUGCAUUGGGAUGUGAUCUUUAGUAGUCUGGGCAGCUUUUCAGCAAAUUGGAAGCCUCCUAAACUCAUUUAAAAUCAUUUGGAGUAGGUAGCUUGUUUGCACUGUUUUAUAUAUAUAUUUACUCAGCCUUCUUUUUGUUUUUUUGCAGUAAAAAGCUUUUUUUAGGGACAUUACACAACUGAUUUCAGCAUUGAAAAGAUCAACACUCAGAUUAUGUGCAGCUUCUGCUCACACAUUAGUUUGGACAUUUACUGGUAAUUGGAACCAGGUGAAGUCAAUUAAACACACAUCGUUCAGAUGUGCAGGAUUGUAGAAAGAAGCAUGUUUUGAUCUUUGCUUAAAGUUAAAGUUAACUAGAAGGAGAAACUCCAGUUUAAGAGUAUAAAACAUCAAAAUAAUUUGCUGAUUUUUUUCCAAGACUUGUUAAGAUCAAUAAAAGGAUGCUCUCCAGGUCCAGAGGCCGGCUGCACCAUGACGGCUGCUGCACGAUAGGGUGAGAAGAUAUGGAAGGACAAGCUCAAACCUCACCAGCUGGCUGUCAACCCUCUGUAACACCUCUUCAUGUCUGCCCCCGUCAGGACCUGCACACUGGAGGGGCUCAGGCUGUCACUGCACUGCUACUUUUAACAAUGUCUCCUAUACAGACGAAAUUUCCUCAAGCUGAUACCAACCCAACACGCACAGCUGCUCCAGAAGAAAGAACCCAGACAAUCACAUUACAUCAUAAACAGAAAUGUUGCAAUUGCUCUACCUGUUCUGAUAUUGCAAGAAAUGUGCAGCAUCUGGUGAGCGCCUGUAACCCGAUUAGCACCGUGCAUUCAUCGCUGUGAUGUAUCAUGAUAUUUAUAUUAAUUACUUCACUGUAGAUGGAACAUGUCAAAACAGGAGAGGGAGCCAAAAGCUGAUGUGACAGGCUGCUGGAAAAAUAUGUGUAAGGAAAAAAACGUUCACGGACAGCAGAUGCUAUGAACGACAUUCAAUUAAACAUUCAAAAGCAUUAUGAGGCUAAUUCUAUUUAAUGUAACU